GGGAGAGAGAGCCCGGCUGCCGCGAUGACCGCGACGGCGACGGCGCGGUCACCAUGGGACGGCGCGACUCGACGUCGCGUCGUGCCCCCACGUUGGCCACCUCUUCGAGGUGCCCAACGCUCGCGAGGAAAGUCCCCCCACCCGUUCGGGCGGGUGACCGGACGCAAGUCCGGAGCGGGAGACCGCUGGCUCUGGAACAGAAACGACACGUCUCGGCCCGACCGAUGAGGCGCGCGACCCCGACCGCGAGGAAGGGAAGCUGACCCGCCGAGGGAAGCGUGGUUCUCGUGCCUCCGGCGCGAGACCGACGGUAUGCGAGACGGCGACGCCGUCGAGCUGUGUGCGGUCGCGUCCGACGCGGUUCGAACCCGCGGGUUACGAUCGUCGUAACCGACCGCAUACGGACGGCCGAGGAUCGAUGGAACGGCGAACCCUCACCGGUGCAAGUCCGCGCCGUGGUAGCCCGAACGCCCCGCGAUUUCGCGGACGGCGCGGACGCUCAGCCGAAUGCCGGAUCGAACAGAAGGGGGCUUACUCCUCUCGCCC
rnacentral:RNase_P_RNA from 1 species